GGCAGGUUGCCCGAGCGGCCAAAGGGAGCUGACUGUAAAUCAGCCGGCGUAGCCUACAGUGGUUCGAAUCCACUACCUGCCA
rfam:Pimelobacter simplex strain VKM Ac-2033D, complete genome.